GACGAACGCUGGCGGCGUGCUUAACACAUGCAAGUCGAACGGUGAAGCAAGUGCUUGCACUCGUGGAUCAGUGGCGAACGGGUGAGUAACACGUGAGUAACCUGCCCAUCACUCUGGGAUAAGCACUGGAAACGGUGUCUAAUACUGGAUACGACCAACCCUUGCAUGGGGUGUUGGUGGAAAGAUUUAUCGGUGAUGGAUGGACUCGCGGCCUAUCAGCUUGUUGGCGGGGUAAUGGCCCACCAAGGCGACGACGGGUAGCCGGCCUGAGAGGGUGACCGGCCACACUGGGACUGAGACACGGCCCAGACUCCUACGGGAGGCAGCAGUGGGGAAUAUUGCACAAUGGGCGAAAGCCUGAUGCAGCGACGCCGCGUGAGGGAUGACGGCCUUCGGGUUGUAAACCUCUUUCAGCAGGGAAGAAGCGAAAGUGACGGUACCUGCAGAAGAAGCACCGGCUAACUACGUG
rnacentral:rRNA from 1 species